GGGAAUCUUCCACAAUGGAACGAAAGUCUGAUGGAGCAACGCCGCGUGAGUGAAGAAGGGUUUCGGCUCGUAAAGCUCUGUUGGUAGUGAAAGAAAGAUAGAGGUAGUAACUGGCCUUUAUUUGACGGUAAUUACUUAGAAAGUCACGGCUAACUACGUGCC
rnacentral:rRNA from 1 species